GGGCAGUGGGCUCCAAGGUCAAAAUUCUGAAUACAGGAUACAGAGGCUUGGGCCAUGCUGAGGAGGUCCUUCCAGAACCCCGUGUCCCUAGCCUGCCCUGAAUGUGAUUCUCUCAUCAAUGUCAUUGGUGAAAGCCCCAGGGGUCUAGUGACCAGAGGGGAAAUGAAAGUAAGGUCAGUAUCUGCCUAACCCAAUACCCUGAUGCGGCCCCAAGAAGCAACAAGGAUCCUCUUUCUACAUUUUUGUUGUUUCCCUCCCCACAUUGAUUCUGCCCACUGAUGCUUUAUACUCAGAGGUUAAUUUUCAAUCUUCACUCGACCACUCGUGAGCUA
rnacentral:lncRNA from 1 species